GGGGUUGUGGCUCAGUGGAAGAGCACUUGCCUAGCAUGUAUGAGGCACUGGGUUCGAUUCUCAGCACCA
rnacentral:tRNA from 1 species